CUAGCUACGGUGGUACAUAUUCUAAAAUUGGAACGAUACAGAGAAGAUUAGCAUGGCCCCUGCACAAAGAUGACACGCAAAUUCGUGAAGCAUUCCAUAUUUUU
rnacentral:snRNA from 1 species